UACGGGGGGUGCGAGCGUUGUCCGGAAUUAUUGGGCGUAAAGGGCGCGUAGGCGGUUUGUUAAGUCGGUUGUGAAAGCCCGGGGCUCAACCCCGGAGAGUCGACCGAUACUGGCAGACUAGAGUACAGAAGAGGUAGCUGGAAUUCCUGGUGUAGCGGUGAAAUGCGUAGAUAUCAGGAGGAACACCUGAGGCGAAGGCGGGCUACUGGGCUGAUACUGACGCUGAUGCGCGAAAGCCAGGGGAGCAAACGGG
rnacentral:rRNA from 1 species